GCUGACCACUGGGGGAGCCGGAAUUGACUGGCUGAGACGAGCGAAUGCUUGGACCCCUUGAACCUGAUCUGGACCAUGCCAGCGUAGGGAAGUGGUACGUAUGCUUC
rnacentral:ncRNA from 1 species